rnacentral:rRNA from 1 species
GAUGAACGCUGGCGGCGUGCCUAAUACAUGCCAGUCGAGCGAACAGAUGAGGAGCUUGCUCCUCUGACGUUAGCGGCGGACGGGUGAGUAACACGUGGAUAACCUACCUAUAAGACUGGGAUAACUUCGGGAAACCGGAGCUAAUACCGGAUAAUAUAUUGAACCGCAUGGUUCAAUAGUGAAAGACGGUUUUGCUGUCACUUAUAGAUGGAUCCGCGCCGCAUUAGCUAGUUGGUAAGGUAACGGCUUACCAAGGCAACGAUGCGUAGCCGACCUGAGAGGGUGAUCGGCCACACUGGAACUGAGGCACGGUCCAGACUCCGACGGGAGGCAGCAGUAGGGAAUCUUCCGCAAUGGGCGAAAGCCUGACGGAGCAACGCCGCGUGAGUGAUGAAGGUCUUCGGAUCGUAAAACUCUGUUAUUAGGGAAGAACAAAUGUGUAAGUAACUAUGCACGUCUUGACGGUACCUAAUCAGAAAGCCACGGCUAACUACGUG